rnacentral:rRNA from 1 species
AUUGAACGCUGGCGGCAUGCCUUACACAUGCAAGUCGAACGGCAGCACGGGGGCAACCCUGGUGGCGAGUGGCGAACGGGUGAGUAACAUAUCGGAACAUACCCUAGAGUGGGGGAUAACGUAGCGAAAGUUACGCUAAUACCGCAUACGAUCUAAGGAUGAAAGUGGGGGAUCUUCGGACCUCAUGCUCAUGGAGUGGCCGAUAUCUGAUUAGCUAGUUGGUGAGGUAAAGGCUCACCAAGGCGACGAUCAGUAGCUGGUUUGAGAGAACGACCAGCCACACUGGAACUGAGACACGGUCCAGACUCCUACGGAGGCAGCAGUGGGAAUUUUGGACAAUGGGGGCAACCCUGAUCCAGCAAUGCCGCGUGAGUGAAGAAGGCCUUCGGGUUGU